GUUGAAACAUCGGUUCCUGUACGAUCACCGAAGUUAAGCAACGUCGAGUCUGGUCAGUAUCUUGAUGGGUGACCGCUUGGGAAUACAAGAUGCUGUAAG
rnacentral:rRNA from 1 species